AGGGUUUGAUCCUGGCUCAGAAUGAACGUUGGCGGCGUGGAUCAGGCAUGCAAGUCGAACGAAUCCCAGGGGGGUAACUCCUUGGGGGAAGUGGCGAAAGGGGCAGUAAGGCAUGGGUAACCUGCCCCGGACUUCGGGAUAGCCUCUCUAACGAGAGGGUAAUACCGGAUGCCGUAUCGAGGGGGCAUCUCCUUGCUACGAAAGCUCAGGCGGUCCGGGAGGGGCUCAUGUGGUAUUAGCUAGUUGGUGGGGUAACGGCCUACCAAGGCAAAGAUGCCUAGCAGGUGUGAGAGCACGACCCGCGCCACUGGCACUGUGACACUGGCCAGACUCCUACGGGAGGCUGCAGUCGAGGAUCUUCGGCAAUGGGCGAAAGCCUGACCGAGCGACGCCGCGUGUGCGAUGAAGGCCUUCGGGUUGUAAAGCACUGUCGGGGGGGAGAAACGGCGCAAGCCCUGAUCGACCCCCGGAGGAAGCUCGGGCUAAGUUCGUGCCAGCAGCCGCGGUAAGACGAUCCGAGCGAACGUUAUUCGGAAUCACUGGGCUUAAAGGGCGCGUAGGCGGGCCAUCAAGUCAGGGGUGAAAGCCUCCAGCUCAACUGGAGAAGUGCCUCUGAUACUGGUGGCCUCGAGGGAGGUAGGGGCGUGCGGAACUUCCGGUGGAGCGGUGAAAUGCGUAGAUAUCGGAAGGAACACCGGUGGCGAAAGCGGCGCGCUGGACCUCUUCUGACGCUGAGGCGCGAAAGCCAGGGGAGCAAACGGGAUUAGAUACCCCGGUAGUCCUGGCCCUAAACGUUGGGCACUAGGUAGUGGACUUACAUGGGUUCACUGCCGAAGCAAAAGUGUUAAGUGCCCCGCCUGGGGAGUAUGGUCGCAAGGCUGAAACUCAAAGGAAUUGACGGGGGCUCACACAAGCGGUGGAGCAUGUGGCUUAAUUCGAGUCUACGCGAAGAACCUUAUCCUGGGCUUGACAUGUGCGAAAGCGGUAGUGAGUAGGGGACGGAAACGCUCCCCCAACGGUAUCCAGUCCGGAAGCUACCACAGGUGCUGCAUGGCUGUCGUCAGCUCGUGUCGUGAGAUGUCGGGUUAAGUCCCAUAACGAGCGAAACCCCUGUCUCCAGUUGCCAGCGUUUCGGGCGGGGACUCUGGAGAGACUGCCGGUGUUAAACCGGAGGAAGGUGGGGAUGACGUCAAGUCCUCAUGGCCCUUAUGCCCAGGGCUGCACACGUGCUACAAUGGCACGCACAAAGGGAGGCAAACCUGCGAAGGUAAGCAGAUCCCAAAAAACGUGCCCCAGUUCAGAUCGGAGGCUGCAACUCUCCUCCGUGAAGUUGGAAUCGCUAGUAAUCGCGGGUCACAACACCGCGGUGAAUGUGUUCCUGAGCCUCGUACACACCGCCCGUCAAGCCACGAAAGGGAGGGAGGGGCCAAGUCGCCGCGCCAACCGUAAGGGGGCAAGCGCCUAACCCUUAAUUCCUGAUUGGGACUAAGUCGAAACAAGGUA
rnacentral:rRNA from 1 species